rnacentral:rRNA from 1 species
GUGACCUCAAAUCAGGUAGGACUACCCGCUGAAUUUAAGCAUAUCAAUAAGCGGAGGAAAAGAAACUAACAAGGAUUCCCCUAGUAACUGCGAGUGAAGCGGGAAAAGCUCAAAUUUAAAAUCUGGCGGUCUUUUGGCUGUCCGAGUUGUAAUCUAGAGAAGUGUUAUCCGCGCUGGACCGUGUACAAGUCUCCUGGAAUGGAGCAUCAUAGAGGGUGAGAAUCCCGUCUUUGACAUGGACUGCCAGGGCUUUGUGAUGCGCUCUCNAAGAGUCGAGUUGUUUGGGAAUGCAGCUCAAAAUG